rnacentral:misc_RNA from 1 species
UCAUUUCGUGUUUUAGUGCACACAGAACGUUCAUUCUCGAUUAAAAUUGUUUGGUUUUAUUUUUUUAAUUCGUUAUGAUCCCCAAAAAGUUAAUUGUGUUGAAAUCUCUUCAAAAACAGUGUGUUUUCGGUCGGACUAGUGUGAUUUGACCACUGUGUAGCGUAUAUAAACUUACGAGAAUCCCAAAAAAGUUAGUUGUGAUGAAAUAUCUACAUAAACAGUGUUUUUUAGGUCGGACUAGUGUUAUUUGACCACUGUGUAGCGUAUAUAAACUUACGGGAAUCCCAAAAAAGUUAAUUGUCGUGAAACAUCUACAAAAACACUGUUUUUAUGUCGAGCUAGUGUUAUUUGACCACUCUGUACAUUUAUCUACUUACGAGAAUUAGUGUUAUCAGCUUAAGAAUACAAUUAUUCACUCAUUGUGUUAAAAUUUAACUUAUUUAGUGCAUUUCCGCUGAUUUUACGGUGUAAAUUCGAAUCGCGCGGUCUUUUUCGCUGUCAAAUGUCAAAACUGAGCAGUUCUAGCAGUUCGUCGAGUGCGGAACGUAGACGGAACGGGCCGAAAUGUUCCGAACGCGCCUCGUUGAUGAUCGGGAGGCCGGCCAGCUACGGAUCGCUGUUGCCAUAUUUCGAGUUUGUCCGGGCCAGUACUAGUAGACAUGCCAGCAAUCAGACGCUGCACAAGAGUGAGUCCAUGGUAUCAGUAUGCUUCCAGUCGCUGAUCUCAUUCGUCAACAAUGACAACCUACCCGGACUUCAAUCGUUUUUGGAGAACAAGCAAUUUCAAAUCGACGAUAAAGAUGAAAAUGGAACCACUGCUCUCAUGGUGGCUGCCUCCAAAGGCCGCAGUGCUUUUGUCAGAGAACUAUUGGCUCAUGGAGCCGAUCCGAAUGUUGAAGACAACGACGGCUGGACAGCCUUACUUUGUGCAGCCAAGGAAGGACACUAUGACAUAGUGCUGCAACUGCUUGAACACCAUGCUGAUAUCGAUCACAGAGAUAUGGGUGGUUGGACUGCCCUCAUGUGGGCCACCUACAAGGGUCGAACCAACGUGGCCCUUCAUUUGUUGGACAGAGGAGCUGAGGUGAACGCCCAUGGCAAUUUCCACAUUUCUUCUUUGCUAUGGGCUGCCGGAAGAGGUUGUACCGAGAUAGUCCGAGCCCUGAUAGACCACGGAGCUAAAGUAAACGUCGGAGAUAAAUAUGGCACCACUGCAUUGGUGUGGGCUAGUAGGAAAGGGUAUACGGAGAUAGUGGAGAUGUUGCUGAGAGCUGGUGCUAAUGUAGAUACUGCAGGCAUGUACUCCUGGACAGCGUUGCUUGUAGCUACUUAUGGCAACCACGUCGAUGUUGUCAACGUUCUUCUCGAGCACAAGCCCAAUGUCAAUGCGUUAGACAAAGACGGCUGCAGUCCACUUACAAUAGCCUGCAAGGAAGGGUUCUACGAUAUUGCAACGUCGCUUCUGGCUGCAGGAGCUUACAUCAAUAUACAGGAUAGGGCUGGAGACACUAACUUGAUCCACGCAGUGAAAGGUGGCCACAAAAAUGUAGUGGAAGCUCUGUUGAAGAAGUACGCUGACGUAGACAUAUUGGGGAAAGACAGGAAAUCUGCCACGUAUGUAGCUGUGGAAAAAGGCAACGUUGGAAUAGUUAAAUUGUUGCUAAGUCACAACCCUGACUUAGAACACGCUACCAAAGAUGGGGAUACGCCUUUACUGAGAGCUGUCAGAAACAGGAAUACUGAAAUUGUUCAGUUACUCUUAGAGAAAAAAUCAAAAGUAUCAGCUACAGACAAGAAAGGUGAUACAGCUCUCCACAUAGCUAUGAGAGCCAGAUCGAAAGCUAUAGUGGAGAUAUUGUUAAGAAACCCCAAGCAUAGUCAGCUGUUAUACAGGCCCAACAGGUCUGGUGAAACACCCUAUAACAUUGACAUGAACCAUCCCAAAACUAUUUUAGGACAAAUAUUCGGAGCCAGGAGACUGAAUACAAACGAAGAUAACGAGAAUAUGUUAGGUUAUGACCUGUACAGUAGCGCCCUCGCUGAUAUAUUAAGUGAACCAAGUUUGUCCAUGCCUAUUACAGUGGGUCUGUAUGCUAAGUGGGGUAGUGGAAAAAGUUUUUUGUUAAAUAAGCUACGAGAGGAAAUGAAGAACUUUGCCAGAGAAUGGGUAGAUCCGGUCUUCCAGUUCACCAGCCUACUUUUCUUGGUUAUGUUACAUUUCGCCAUAGUCGUAGGCACCUUCGUUUACAUUUUGACAGAAACGACAACUGACAAGCUCCAGCCAGAACUGUGGUCGAUCGGCAUAGCUAUAGGCUUCUAUUUGUUGGGUAUUUUGUUCCUAGUGUUCGUGUGGUUCGCCAGUAAGAGGUAUGAUUGGGACUGGCCUUAUAACUUUAACGUAGAACUCACUAGAAAAAUGAACAACUUAAGACUGGUUUUGCAGAUUUUGUUCUGUCAUCCGCCCGGAAUGACAGGUCAGGACGGUAUAUCGGCUCAACCAAUCAGAUUUUAUUUCACAGAUCACACCAGAGUGAGUAGCACCACUGGGGGUGAAAAUUCGGUAGUUCAAAUGAUCGGUUCCUUGUACGACUCCAUUGAAAGUCAUUACGGUACCAUGGCAACCAGGUUGUACCGAGCCUUCAAACCUAAACCAGUGAAAUCAGCCUCUUCGUGGUCAUGGCGAAAGAUGUGUUGCCUGCCUUACAUAAUCAUUUUCGAAAUAACGUUUUUUAUGGUCAUUCUGGGAAUAAGUGCCUUGACGUAUUACCUAGUUCGUGUCAAUUCAGGUGAAACCAUUACAAUCAAUAUGACCAAGUCAACUUUGGAAAUAAUACUGAUAGUGGCAGCACUGCUUCUGGCAGUGGCCACAAUAGCCAACGCCUAUACUUGGAGUAAAUUGUUUAGGUCUGUGUUGUUCUCGCAAAGACGCCAUUUACAGCGUUCUAUAGCCAAACUUGAGACUGUAAAAAGUGAAGGAUUUUUACAAACACUUAGACAAGAGGUUAAUCUGAUGAAAGAUAUGGUCAAAUGUUUGGAUAGCUUGAGCGCGCAACAAACCAGACUUGUCAUAGUUGUUGACGGUCUUGACAGUUGCGAACAAGAGAAAGUGUUACUGAUACUGGACACUGUCCAUCUGUUGUUCUCCGACGCCAACUCGCCGUUUAUUGUGAUAUUAGCUAUAGAUCCUCACGUCAUAGCCAAGGCUGUGGAAAUGAACACUAGGCGUCUGUUCAGCGAGAGCAACAUCGGCGGACACAACUACCUGAGCAACAUGGUCCACUUGCCCUUCUAUCUACAAAAUUCUGGAUUAAGGAAGGUUAAAGUUGCUCAGCAGACUGCAUCAGCUCACAAGAAAUCAAACGCUGGAGGUUGGUCGGAAAAUGACGAGAAUCUCAACACUUUUCUGGCCAGAUCGUCUUCAAGUCGAAGAUUGUCUAAUGAGAACAUUCUGAUGUCGGCUAGUAGGGAAAAUCUGAAAUAUUCCGGCAAUAGGAAGGGUUCUAGGAAGCUGAAGCUGUCAGAGUCUAUAGCUAGUUCGAUAGGAUCAAAUUUGAACCGAAUAGGUGGUGCUCAAGACUUAACCAAAAUGCUUCUAACUGACGAUUACUUCAGCGAUGUGAAUCCCCGAUCCAUGAGAAGGUUGAUGAACGUUGUAUACAUAACAGGACGAUUACUUAAAGCAUUCCAAAUAGAUUUUAACUGGUACCGUUUAGCUUCUUGGAUCAAUAUCACCGAACAAUGGCCUUUUAGAACGUCUUGGAUAAUAUAUCAUUUUGAUCUCUAUGAAGAUCAGCUAGAUGAUAACACUCCAUUGAAAUCAAUAUACGAUAAAAUUAGGCCAUUGAUUCCUUCAAUCAAAGACUCGGAACCGUUGCUAGAACUGGACAGGGACGAGAAAAAAUUUGACAUUUUCCUAACCUUUCAUCGUUCCAGUCUUUUAGUCAGUGAUUUGAAGAUAUUCCUGCCAUUCACCAUAAACUUAGAUCCAUACCUGAAAAAAGUUAUUAAAGAGGAAACGCAGAAUAUUGAGGAGGUAGGGAUGUAUUCCCCUCAGAUGCGCGCCCCCUACUUUGCACCGCCGCCACUGUCUGCCUGGCACACGCACGUUGAUUGGUCGGGACAGGUUCCAAAUAGACCAGUGGCGUCCACUUCUCAACCUACCAGAGACAGACGUCAGGUUAUGCCUGUACCCAAGAUGGUUCCUGGUCCUUACCAAUCACCAGCCAACACAAUGGCGUCUCCUUGGACACAGUUCGAUGCUUUAAGUAACAUGAGCACUACUUCAAGACAGUCUGCAGGGUUGCCGUCUGUAAUUUUAGAGCCUGGCAUAUUGGAAAACAAGCUUUCCACGUUAAAUGUAGAGGGCGUGUGCAAGCUUCUUUCCAAACUGGAAGAUCUGAACCAAGCUGCUGUUCCAGGGUACAUCAGUUUAAUAAAAGAGCACAAUGUCAAUGGAAGGGUACUUCUGCAUUGCGAUAUAGAUGAUCUUAAGAAGCUACUGAACAUGUCUUUUGGUGACUGGGAGAUGUUCAAGGUCACUCUCAUUCAACUCCGAGAGUACGAAAUUUCCAGUAUUCUGAAGCAAGACGAUUCCAAUCAGUCUGUAGUAUCCAAAAAACCAGAGAGAAAAAGUAGUAUAAAGGGCGUAACAAGUUCAAACAGCGACAAAACUGACGGAAAAAUUCAAACUGAAGUGCCCAGAGAAAGGAAACAGAGCGUCAUAGAAAAACAGAUGUCACGUCAUCGCGCGGCCACAGAUCGCGUACGAACAGCACGAGCGGACUAGGCGAGACAGAUUUCGUCAUUCUGCAGUCAUCGUCAUCAGGACAUUUACACUGGCAACCCGUUGGAAUUUCCAUAGCUGGUUACUCGGAGAGUCUGAGCGAACAAAGCUCUAGAGGCAGUUCACAACCCCCAUCUCCUGUACAAGAACGUAGGUCUUUCUCGGAAUCGUCCAAAGGCCGUCAUGUCGUCAUAAAAACCGAUCCAGAGGUCCAGAAAGUCAGCAUUUCCUCCAACACCUCCACUGUAGUCUACGAAACCCAUCCUUCAAAGCCUCUGGUUAGAGCCAGACCAAAUUCCUUAGGCUUAGGUCAUCGGGACUCGCGGCCUCACAAACCUCCUUGCAGGAACAGGUCGAAGAGUAUUGAUCACACUCAGAUGACUACGCGCAAAGACCACAAGAAGAUCAGCCUGGAUAAGCUUCAAAAAUUCCGGGAAAAACUACUACAAUCCAGUC